rnacentral:rRNA from 1 species
UACAUGGGGUGCAAACGUUGCUCGGAAUUAUUGGGCGUAAAGCGCGCGUAGGCGGUUACUUAAGUCGGAUGUGAAAGCCCUCGGCUUAACUGAGGAAGUGCACCCGAAACUGAGUAGCUGGAGUACGAAAGAGGGUGGCGGAAUUCCCCAAGUAGAGGUGAAAUUCGUAGAUAUGGGGAGGAACACCGGUGGCGAAGGCGGCCACCUGGACGGUAACUGACGCUGAGACGCGAAAGCGUGGGGAGCAAACAGG